AGGUGAAGACUGCAAAAAGCCUUUGAAGUAAAACAGUUGUGUGUACCGUGUACGAGGAGGAGAUCAGAUGAGCAGUCUGACGGAGGAGCCUUUCUUGGUCGUGAUCCUCUGCUUACGGAACUCUUGACCCUUAGAAAACCUCCGAUCACUGGUUCUGUUCAUUCAGGCAGGGGCGGAUCUACAUGGUGGGCUAUUUGGGCUCAAGUCUAGACAGUUUUUUGGGCAAAAAACGACCAAGUAUAUAUAUAUAUAUAUAUAUAUAUAUAUAUAUAUAAUUUCAGCCUAUACCCAAAGAAAAAAAGAAAGAAAAAAGAAUAGGGAGGUAAAGCUGCGUUCUCCCCCAGCCACAGCUUCGAGACGUCGACUGCUUCGAGUUCUCUCCUCUCUUCGCCUCCUCAGUCCUCGCCUAUUUUUCACUCAUUGAGUCAUCGGAAAGACGGAAAUAUCAUAGUGUCAGACCCUCCGCGGCCGGCGGCUCCGCCUUUUCUUCUCCAAUCUCCACCUCUCCCUUCCAUUGCCCGAUCUAAUACCCAACUGCCCAAGAGAUUUGCAUAGCUUCUUGCAAAGUUACAGACUGGAGUGACCGAAGACUCGAAGAGCUUAGCUGAUUGCCUGGGUUUCUGGAAGAGUUCUGGACUUCUGGCCCUCCAUGGCUCCAUGAAUUGUAUUGAUUGAUAAAAUUGAAGAGUCAUGAUGGUGACAAGAAGCAAGAGUUCAGGCCUAUUAAAGUUAGUGGAGGAGAGGUUAUUGAAGAGGAAAACAGAGGAAGAGAAAGAGCAAGCACAAAUUUCAUAUAUCCCGAAGGACUGUAUCUCAAACAUCCUUGCACGACUUCCUGCUGACUCUCUUCAAAGGUCGAGGUUUGUUUGCAAACCAUGGUAUAAUGCAGUUAAAAACCCCAAAUUCAUUCAUGCUCAUCUCCAACUUUCUGAAUCUGUUUUGAAAUGUAAAGGAAAGUUUGCACCCUAUUUCUAAGAAGCUAAAAGUGGGAGAAAAUGGAAGGUCAUAUCCUAUGGCAUCUAACCUACAGGCGAAGCAAAACAAAAUUCCAGUUGAAUCAAAACUUUUUGACCCAAACAUUAUCCCCAUUUUUGGUCACCCAGCCUUAAAUUCUCCAAAAAAAUUUGUUCAGUUUCUGGAAUUUAAAAAUGGUAAGAGUGACAUAGGAGAAUACUGUUUAAGUUGCUUGGGCAAUAAUAUUAGAGCCACCUGGAAUGGUCUAAUAUUGCUUGACAACAAAUUGAAGAAGGGAGGAGUCAAAGUCUUGAAUCCUGUGACUAGGAAGGUGAUUGCACUUCCUGUGGGUACCUUGUGUCGUCUUCCACAUCAAGAAUCAUAUGGUUUCGCACUGAGUGAUGUAAUUGGUGAGUAUAAAGUAGUCCACUUGUUUCUGGAUCAGUUGGGGUUGCUGUGAGAUAUUGAGCCUUAAUAAGAAAGCUUGGAGAGAGGUCAGUGGUCCUUCUUUCGGGCUCUUUGGUAAUAAUGGGUUUGGAUAUGCACCUGUUUCAGCAGCCGGAGCUUUGCACUGGAUUCCUCAUUUUAAUGUAAGCAAUUACGUAGUGUCAUUGGAAGUUGACAAGGAGAAGUUUCACCAAAUACCAUUCCCUAAGAGCUGCAGAACUCAUGAUUGGAUUUUUGAAGCAGAACUCAUGACAGGAUUAUUGAAAUUGGUGGCUCUUUAGGUUUUGUCACUCAUGAGGACAUGAACCACAUUGACAUUUGGAUCUUGAAGGGUUUAUCUGGGGAAGGGUGAACAAAGCAGCACAGUAUCACAGUGGAUUCCAAAAUUGACAUGGUUCCCCUUUGAAGUUUAAGAAUCAAGGGAGAUAUUAUUUUCCGUAGAAACAAAGACGACUCUUUCUAUGCUUACGACUUCCAACAGCAACAGAUGACAGAGAUUGGGAAGAUUAAUGGACUACCAAGGUGCCUGCCUCAUGUCAAUAGCCUUGUUACUUGGAUGCAAGUGAGUGAGGACAUGUUUGACUGACCUGCAGCAAUUGAGUGUGAUUUUCUAUAUGCUUGAAUUUCUCUUUAGUUUUAUAUGCUUAGUUGGAAAUGAAUUUUCUUCUCUUUAUAUGUAUAUAUAUCUUGCGUAUAAGAUUGAAUUGCCCUUUCUGUUUGGGCAUAGACCGUUCAUUUUCCAAUACAAUUGCUUAUAUAAGUUUGCUUA